UUCAUAGGUCACUCAGCACUGUAACACAUGAUGAACAGGGAAUAUCUGUCACUAGAAUCAUCAUCAUCACUGUCAUCAUCAUCAUCAUCAUCAUCAUUACUACCAUCAUCAUCAUCAUCACAACCAUUCAUCAUCGUCAUCAUUAUUACUACCAUCAUCACUACCAUCAUCAUCAUUAUUACUACCAUCAUCACCAUCAUCAUCAUCACAACCAUCAUCAUCAUCAUCAUCAUCAUCAUCACAACCAUCAUCACUAUCAUCAUUAUCAGUAGUACUACCAUCAUCAUUAUCAUCAUCAUCACUAUCAUCAUCAUCAUCAUCACCAUCUUCAUCACCAUCUUCAUCAUUAUUACUACCAUCAUCAUCAUCAUCAUCAUUAUCACUACCAUCAUCAUCAUCACCAUCAUUAUCACUACCAUCAUCAUCAUCACCAUCAUUAUCACUACCAUCAUCAUCAUCAUCAUCAUUAUUACUGCCAUCAUCAUCACCAUCAUCAUCAUUAUCACUACCAUCAUCAUUACCAUCAUCAUCACCAUCACCAUCAUCAUCAUCAUUACUGCCAUCAUCAUCACCAUCAUCAUCAGUAUUACUGCCAUCAUCAUCUUCAUCAUUAUUACUACCAUCAUCAUCAUCAUUAUUACUACCUUCACCAUCAUCAUCAUCAUCAUCAUUACUACCGUCAUCAUCAUCAUCAUCAUCAUCAUCACUACCAUCAUCAUCAUCAUCAUCAUCAUCAUUACUACCGUCAUCAUCAUCAUCAUUACUACCAUCAUCAUCAUCACCAUCAUCACCAUCAUCAUCAUUAUUACUACCAUCAUCAUCAUCAUUAUUACUACCAUCAUCAUCAUCAUCAUCAUUAUUACUACCAUCAUCAUCACCAUCAUCAUUAUUACUACCAUCAUCAUCACCAUCAUCAUCAUCAUCACUACCAUCAUCAUUACCAUCAUCAUCAUCAUCAUUACUUCUGCCAUCAUCAUCACCAUCAUCACCACCAUCAUCACCACCAUCAUCACCAUCAUCAUCAUUAUCACUACCAUCAUCAUUACCAUCAUCAUCACCAUCAUCAUCACCAUCAGUAUUACUGCCAUCAUCAUCAUCUUCAUCAUUAUUACUACCAUCAUCAUCAUUAUCACUACCAUCAUCAUCAUCAUCAUCAGUAUUACUGCCAUCAUCAUCUUCAUCAUUAUUACUACCAUCAUCAUCAUCAUUAUUACUACCAUCGCCAUCAUCAUCAUCAUCAUCAUCAUCAUUACUACCGUCAUUAUCAUCAUCAUUACUACCAUCAUCAUCAUCAUCAUCAUCAUCAUCAUCAUCACCACCAUCAUCACCAUCAUUAUUACUACCAUCAUCAUAAUCAUCAUCAUUAUUACUACCAUCAUCAUCAUUUUCAUCAUUAUUACUACCAUCAUCAUCACCAUCAUCAUCAUCAUCAGUAUUACUACCAUCACCAUCAUCAUCAGUAUUACUACCAUCAUCAUCAUCAUCAUCUUUAUCAUCAUCACCAUCAUCAUCACCAUCUUCAUCAUCACCAUCAUUAUUACUACCAUCAUCAUCACCACCAUCAUCAUCAUUAUUACUACCAUCAUCAUCAUCACCAUCAUCAUCACCAUCAUCAUCACCAUCAUCACCAUCAUUAUUACUACCAUCAUCAUCACCAUCAUCACCAUCAUCAUAUUAAUACCACCAUCAUCAUCAUCAACAUCAUCAUCAUUAUUACUACCAUCAUCAUCAUCAUCAUCAUCAUUAUUACUACCAUCUUCAACAUCAUCAUCAUUAUUACUACCAUCUUCAUCAUCGCCAUCAUCAUGAUCAGUAUUACUACCGUCAACAUCAACAUUAUUAUUACUACCAUCAUCAUCAUCACCACCAUCAUCACCAUCAUUAUUACUACCAUCAUCAUCAUCACCACCAUCACCACCAUCAUUAUUACUACCAUCACCAUCAUCAUCAUUAUUAUUACUAUCAUCAUCACCAUCAUCACCAUCAUCAUCACCACCAUCAUCACCAUCAUUAUUACUACCAUCACCAUCAUCAUCAUUAUUAUUACUAUCAUCAUCACCAUCAUCACCAUCAUCAUCACCACCAUCAUCACCAUCAUUAUUACUACCAUCACCAUCAUCAUCAUUAUUAUUACUAUCAUCAUCACCAUCAUCACCAUCAUCAUCACCACCAUCAUCACCAUCAUUAUUACUACCAUCGUCAUCACCAUCAUUAUUACUACCAUCAUCAUCAUCAUUAUUACUACCAUCACCAUCAUCAUUAUUACUACCAUCACCAUCAUCAUCAUUAUUAUUACUACCAUCAUCAUCAUCAUUAUUAUUAUUACUACCAUCAUCAUCAUCAUUAUUAUUAUUACUACCAUCAUCAUCAUCAUCAUCAUCAUCAUUAUUAUUAUUACUACCAUCAUCAUCAUCAUUAUUAUUAUUACUACCAUCAUCAUCAUCUUUAUCAUCAGUCUUUUUCCUCACUGUAACAUGAAUCAGCACCAGGCGCAAAUCAAAAAGCUGUAAUUAA
rnacentral:lncRNA from 8 species